AUGGAACAUUGGCUGUGGAUUAUUCUUGCUGCUCUUUUCUUUGAGUGUAAAGGAGACAAAGUCCUCCAGACUGAAGGACCUGUUGUUGCUGCUGAAGGACGAACCGUCACUCUGGGAUGUACUUUUGAAACCAGUUCUACAGUUCCAUAUUUGUUUUGGUAAAAACAAGAAGAAAACAGCUUCCCAAAGUUCAUGCUGUCAUGUGUCUCAGGGACAUCAGGCCCAUCUAAAGCUCCAGAGUUUGACAAAAACAAGUUUGAUGCAACACUUAAAGGAAAAUCAGUUCCUCUGAUGAUCCAGGAUCUUGAUGUGUCUGACUCUGCUGUGUACUACUGUGCUCUGAGGCCCACAGUGACAGGAAACAGCUAAACUCUGUCCAAAAACCUGCAGAGCAAAGACAACACAA